rnacentral:rRNA from 1 species
AGAGUUUGAUCCUGGCUCAGAAUGAACGCUGGCGGCGUGCCUAACACAUGCAAGUCGAGCGAGAAAGCUCUUUCGGGAGUGAGUAAAGCGGCGGACGGUUGAGUAACACGUGAGAAUCUGCCCUCUAGUGGAGAAUACCUUCGAGAAAUCGAUGUUAAUUCUGCAUAAGUCCCUACGGGGAGAAAGGUGGCCUAAUUGCUAUCGCUAGAGGAGGAGCUUGCGUCCUAUCAGUUUGUUGGUGAGGUAAAGGCUUACCAAGGCUAUGACGGGUAACUGGCUUGAGAGAGUGGUCAGUCAGAUUGGAACUGAGAUACGGUCCAGACUCCUACGGGAGGCAGCAGUGAGGAAUAUUGCGCAAUGGGCGAAAGCCUGACGCAGCGACGCCGCGUGGAGGAUGAAGGCCUUCGGGUUGUAAACUCCUGUUAGGUGGGAAGAAAUCCCCAGCUCUAAUACAGUUGGGGGAUGACGGUACCAUCAGAGAAAGCACCGGCUAACUUCGUGCCAGCAGCCGCGGUAAUACGAGGGGUGCUAGCGUUAUUCGGAAUUACUGGGCGUAAAGGGUGUGUAGACGGCAUGUUAAGUCGACUGUUAAAUACUUCGGCCCAACCGGAGAGAUGUGGUCGAAACUGGCGUGCUAGAGGGUGGAAGAGAGAAGUGGAAUUCUCGGAGUAGCGGUAAAAUGCGUAGAUCUCGAGAGGAACACCGAUGGCGAAGGCAGCUUCUUGGUCCAUUCCUGACGUUGAAACACGAAAGCGUAGGGAGCAAACAGGAUUAGAUACCCUGGUAGUCCACGCCGUAAACGAUGAUCACUGGACGUCGGAUUUGUUUUUACAGAUUCGGUGUCGUAGCUAACGCGUUAAGUGAUCCGCCUGGGGAGUACGGUCGCAAGACUAAAACUUAAAGGAAUUGACGGGGGUCCGCACAAGCGGUGGAACAUGUGGUUUAAUUCGACACUACGCGAGGAACCUUACCUAGGUUUGACAUGCAUUUGACAGCCGUAGAAAUACGGUCUUCUGGACUUUGUUCAGACAGAUGCACAGGUGCUGCAUGGCUGUCGUCAGCUCGUGUCGUGAGAUGUUAGGUUAAGUCCUCUAACGAGCGCAACUCCUACUACCAGUUGCAACUGCGUGAGCAAGGCACUCUGGUGGAACUGCCUGGGAAACCAGGAGGAAGGUGGGAAUGACGUCAAGUCAGCAUGGUCCUUAUGUCUAGGGCUACACACGUGUUACAAUGGCCGGUAUAACGAGCUGCAAGCCUGCGAGGGUAAGCUAAUCUCUAAAAGCCGGUCUAAGUUCGGAUUGGAGUCUGCAACUCGACUCCAUGAAGUUGAAAUCGCUAGUAAUCGCGCAUCAGCAACGGCGCGGUGAAUACGUUCUCGGACCUUGUACACACCGCCCGUCACACCACGAAAGCUAUUUGUACCCGAAGCCGUCUUAGCUAACCCGUAAGGGAUGCGGGCGUUUAAGGUAUGGGUGGUGAUUGGGGUGAAGUCGUAACAAGGUA